AUUGAACGCUGGCGGCAUGCCUUACACAUGCAAGUCGAACGGUAACAGGUCUUCGGAUGCUGACGAGUGGCGAACGGGUGAGUAACACAUCGGAACGUGCCUAGUAGUGGGGGAUAACUACUCGCAAGAGUGGCUAAUACCGCAUGAGAUCCACGGAUGAAAGCAGGGGAUCGCAAGACCUUGUGCUACUAGAGCGGCCGAUGGCAGAUUAGGUAGUUGGUGGGAUAAAAGCUUACCAAGCCGACGAUCUGUAGCUGGUCUGAGAGGACGAUCAGCCACACUGGGACUGAGACACGGCCCAGACUCCUACGGGAGGCAGCAGUGGGGUAUUUUGGACAAUGGGCGAAAGCCUGAUCCAGCAAUGCCGCGUGCAGGAUGAAGGCCUUCGGGUUGUAAACUGCUUUUGUACGGAACGAAAAGCCCUGGGUUAAUACCCUGGGGUCAUGACGGUACCGUAAGAAUAAGCACCGGCUAACUACGUGCCAGCCGCCGCGGUAA
rnacentral:rRNA from 1 species